AGGAUGAACGCUGGCGGCGUGCUUAACACAUGCAAGUCGAACGAUGAAGGCUGGAGCUUGCUCUGGCUGGAUUAGUGGCGAACGGGUGAGUAACACGUGAGUAACCUGCCCCAGACUCUGGGAUAAGCGCUGGAAACGGCGUCUAAUACCGGAUACGAGCUUCCACCGCAUGGUGAGGAGCUAGGAAAGAAUUUCGGUCUGGGAUGGACUCGCGGCCUAUCAGCUUGUUGGUGAGGUAAUGGCUCACCAAGGCGACGACGGGUACGCCGGCCUGGAGGACGGGGUCGACCGGGCCAACGACCGUGGGAACCUAGGAGACCGACGGCCCAGUACCUCCGUACGGGAGGCAGCAGGUGGGAAUAGUUCGACACAACGUGGGGCACAAGGCCUGAUGGCAGACCAACGCCGCGUAGGAACGGGACGUAACGGCCGUUUACCGGGUUA
rnacentral:rRNA from 1 species